GAUGUAUGGCCUCUCCUACUUUGUGGAAUAUUUAAUCAAAGAGUCACCAGAUAUCAAAACCGAAGCCAGCAGUUCUGGAUAUCAGCCCACUCCCUAUGGGCCUGUUGGUAUUUGCAGAGGUACUCUGGGUUGAAGAUUUGAAGUAAAGCUUGUCGGUAUAAAUUGUGACUUCUUUCCAUCACAGGCUCCCACCCCUAGAAGGAGAAAAUUCGCUGUUUACCAGAGAAACAAAAAACCCAUGCACUCACCCUCCAAAGAUGUGCUAAGCGGAUCUGUCCAGUACCUUCCUGAGCUGGAUGAUGAAGAA